rnacentral:rRNA from 1 species
AGAGUUUGAUCAUGGCUCAGAACGAACGCUGGCGGCGUGGAUAAGACAUGCAAGUCGAACGGAUUUACCCGAGUAGCAAUACAAGGGUGAGUCAGUGGCGCAAGGGUGCGUAACACGUGGGCAACCUGCCCUGGAGUUCGGGAUAGCCCGCCGAAAGGCGGAUUAAUACCGGAUGCGGCUACCGAAGGAUUCUUCGGGACGCUAAAGGUGGCGCAAGCUACCGCUCCUGGAUGGGCCCGCGGCCUAUCAGCUAGUUGGUGAGGUAACGGCUCACCAAGGCGAUGACGGGUAGCUGGUCUGAGAGGACGACCAGCCACACUGGAACUGAGACACGGUCCAGACACCUACGGGUGGCAGCAGUCGAGAAUUUUUCUCAAUGGGGGAAACCCUGAAGGAGCGACGCCGCGUGGAGGAUGAAGGUCUUCGGAUUGUAAACUCCUGUCAUUGGUGAACAAGAUUCCCGCGUUAACUGCGCGGGGGUUUGAUAGUAGCCGAAGAGGAAGGGACGGCUAACUCUGUGCCAGCAGCCGCGGUAAUACAGAGGUCCCGAGCGUUGUUCGGAUUCAUUGGGCGUAAAGGGUGCGUAGGCGGCGGGGAAAGUCUGAUGUGAAAUCCUGGGGCUCAACCCUGGAACUGCAUUGGAUACUUCCUUGCUAGAGUACUGGAGAGGAAACUGGAAUUUACGGUGUAGCAGUGAAAUGCGUAGAGAUCGUAAGGAAGACCAGUGGCGAAGGCGAGUUUCUGGACAGUUACUGACGCUGAGGCACGAAGGCCAGGGGAGCAAACGGGAUUAGAUACCCCAGUAGUCC